rfam:Gamma proteobacterium HIMB55 ctg2504557020, whole genome shotgun sequence.
GUCACGCGAACGGCAACGGUUAUUGGUGAGUACCCUCAUCCUCUGACCCACCCUAAUGACGGGAUAGUUAUUUGGGCUGUUUGCGGGUUCCGUCAGUGUUGCGCAGGUAUAUGCGUCUCACGCUCGGGCUCGACACUGCGCUACCUCGCAGGACGGCCGAACACGGGUUUCGUGAUCGAUGUUCUGGAUGGUUUCCGGAUCGAUCCGGCCAGUG